rnacentral:tRNA from 2 species
GGCAAGAUGGCCGAGCGGUCUAAGGCGUCAGUGGUCCUGCCCUUGUUACAACUCUUACACUCCUUUACUAACACCUCACCAGGCUAGCUUAAGGUUGUACCAGUCACUUCUCUGAUGGUUGUCAUUCGCUAGUCCGAAAGGGCGUGGGUUCGAAUCCCACUCUUGUCA